CUCACUUUGGAUCAACAGAGUCCGGUUAGUUCUGUUCGAUGCGUUUUUCUCGACUGCGCGCUGUUCGCUGAACCUUCGGAUUGCUCCCGCGCCUCCCACAGUGAGCCGUUGCGCUUCGGAUCAUGAGCACGGCCUCCGGCAUGUCGAGACCUGUCAGUAUGUGUCUCGGCGGAACUUACAAGUUCUCAGUUUGCGUGAACGAGUC
rnacentral:lncRNA from 1 species